rnacentral:rRNA from 1 species
AGUGAACGCUGGCGGUAGGCCUAACACAUGCAAGUCGAACGGCAGCACAGAGGAGCUUGCUCCUUGGGCGGCGAGUGGCGGACGGGUGAGGAAUACAUCGGAAUCUACUCUGUCGUGGGGGAUAACGUAGGGAAACUUACGCUAAUACCGCAUACGACCUACGGGUGAAAGCAGGGGACCUUCGGGCCUUGCGCGAUUGAAUGAGCCGAUGUCGGAUUAGCUAGUUGGCGGGGUAAAGGCCCACCAAGGCGACGAUCCGUAGCUGGUCUCAGAGGAUGAUCAGCCACACUGGAACUGAGACACGGUCCAGACUCCUACGGGAGGCAGCAGUGGGGAAUAUUGGACAAUGGGCGCAAGCCUGAUCCAGCCAUACCGCGUGGGUGAAGAAGGCCUUCGGGUUGUAAAGCCCUUUUGUUGGGAAAGAAAUCCAGCUGGCUAAUACCCGGUUGGGAUGACGGUACCCAAAGAAUAAGCACCGGCUAACUUCGUGCCAGCAGCCGCCGUAA